rnacentral:rRNA from 1 species
UGGAUUCGUGCUCGAAAGAGAACCUGCACACAGGUGCUGCAUGGCUGUCGUCAGCUCGUGUCGUGAGAUGUUGGGUUAAGUCCCGCAACGAGCGCAACCCUUGCCAUUAGUUGCUACGAAAGGGCACUCUAAUGGGACUGCCGGUGACAAACCGGAGGAAGGUGGGGAUGACGUCAAGUCCUCAUGGCCCUUAUAGGUGGGGCUACACACGUCAUACAAUGGCCGGUACAAAGGGCAGCCAACCCGCAAGGGGGAGCCAAUCCCAUAAAGCCGGUCGUAGUCCGGAUCGCAGUCUGCAACUCGACUGCGUGAAGUCGGAAUCGCUAGUAAUCGUGGAUCAGCAUGUCACGGUGAAUACGUUCCCGGGUCUUGUACACACCGCCCGUCACACCAUGGGAGCGGGUCUCGCCAGAAGUAGUUAGCCUAACCGCAAGGAGGGCGAUUACCACGGCGGGGUUCGUGACUGGGGUGAAGUCGUAACAAGGUAGCCGUAUCGGAAGGUGCGGCU